ensembl:snRNA U6 U6 spliceosomal RNA
UUGCUUUAGCAGCACAUAUACUAAAACUGGAAUGAUACAGAUAAGAUUAGCAUAAGUUCCUGUGUAAGGAUGACAUGCAAAUAAAUGAAGCAUUCCAUAUUUUU